GACGUAGGGCGCGAGCGUUGUCCGGAUUUAUUGGGCGUAAAGAGCUCGUAGGCGGCUUGUCGCGUCGUUCGUGAAAACUUGGGGCUCAACCCCCAAGCUUGCGGUCGAUACGGGCAGGCUAGAGUUCGGUAGGGGAGACUGGAAUUCCUGGUGUAGCGGUGACAUGCGCAGAUAUCAGGAGGAACACCGGUGGCGAAGGCGGGUCUCUGGGCCGAUACUGACGCUGAGGAGCGAAAGCGUGGGGAGCGAACAGG
rnacentral:rRNA from 1 species